AUUGAACGCUAGCGGCAUGCUUUAUACAUGCAAGUCGAACGAGUGGCGGACGGGUGAGUACUAUAUCGGAACGUGCCCAGUAGCGGGGGAUAACUACUCGAACGAGUGGCUAAUACCGCAUACUAUUGGUGCGGCCGAUAGGUGAUUAGCUAUUUGGUGGGGUAAAGGUACACAAAGGCCACGAUCCGGAGCGGGUUUGAGAGGACGACCCUCCACACUGGGACUGUGAAACGGCCCGGCCUCCUACGGAUGGCAGCAUUGGGGAAUUUUUGACCAUGGGGGCAACCCUGAUCCAGCCAUCCCGCGUGGAGUAGAAGUCCUUCGGGUUGUAAUGUACUUUUGGAAGAGAAGCGGUAGCUGAAGAAUAAGCACCGGCUAACUACGUGCCAGCCGCCGCGGUAAUAC
rnacentral:rRNA from 1 species